GACGAACGCUGGCGGCGUGCCUAAUACAUGCAAGUAGAACGCUGAAGCGAGGAGCUUGCUCUUCUUGGAUGAGUUGCGAACGGGUGAGUAACGCGUAGGUAACCUGCCUUGUAGCGGGGGAUAACUAUUGGAAACGAUAGCUAAUACCGCAUAACAAUGGAUGACACAUGUCAUUUAUUUGAAAGGGGCAAUUGCUCCACUACAAGAUGGACCUGCGUUGUAUUAGCUAGUAGGUGAGGUAAUGGCUCACCUAGGCGACGAUACAUAGCCGACCUGAGAGGGUGAUCGGCCAAACUGGGACUGAGACACGGCCCAGACUCCUACGGGAGGCAGCAGUAGGGAAUCUUCGGAAAUGGGGGCAACCCUGACCGAGCAACGCCGCGGGAGUGAAGAAGGUUUUCGGAUCGUAAAGCUCUGUUGUAAGUCAAGAACGGGUGUGAGAGUGGAAAGUUCACACUGUGACGGUAGCUUACCAGAAAGGGACGGCUAACUACGUG
rnacentral:rRNA from 1 species